CCCCACUAAGAAAAAUGAACUGAAAGAUCCAACAGUGUACCAGAUGCACAAUCCAACAGGCGACUUCCAAUUAAGUAAAAUUUAACUGCAUCCAAGUCCUUUUUUUUGGGUCUUACCAAGUCCUUUUUCUUUGUGGGGUUUCUUUCUGGUAGUUGGGAGUUGGUGUGUGCAAUUUUACACUGUUUUCUUCGUCGACAUAAAGGUUCGUGUAGUUUUGCAAUGAGGUCCUUAUAGUUGGGUUUCAUUUGCAAUUGAGGACAUGUUUAUAAUUUGGUGAUUCUUUUAAAACAGAAAGCGUCAUCGUGUAAGGCUGUCGUGGAAAUAUUAAUACGUGGAAAGAUCAUUUUAUCCCUUUGUCGCAAAAUAUCCCCGUUAGCCUAGUGUCUUGUCUAGUCGACCGACUCAUUUUGAUUCCUUCUCCAUAAUAAGUAUUCAAUUCUACUAAAGUAUGAUGACUUGGACUUUCUAGGCACCGCAUAUAAUUUUGGCAGAAAACCCCCAUGUGCAGUGCAGCCUUUCUCUCAAUGUUCCAUGCGCGCAUCACCUGUCAUUUUUGUCAAGGGGUUUGUGUUGGUUUUUACAAAGCAUUGCAAACAUAUUUGAGUUAGAAUGUCUCAUAUUGAAAAAUUAG
rnacentral:lncRNA from 1 species